ensembl:snoRNA SNORA74 Small nucleolar RNA SNORA74
CCCAGCUGUAGGCAGCUGGCUAGGUUGCCUUGUACCUAGGAAAGUGUCACACUGCUGGUAGAAGAGCAGCCACUAGCUGGCAGGCAUCCUGGGACUGGUUAAUGCCAACUCUGUGUUAACUAUACUAGCUGGCAUAGUU